CCCUAGCCCAGAUAGCAGUGAAAAUCCUUUAUGUUUUUCCUUUAAAAACAUAAAGAUUGCAACGAAUAGCUGGAAAUAGC
rnacentral:sRNA from 1 species